UACGUAGGGUGCAAGCGUUAAUCGGAAUUACUGGGCGUAAAGCGUGCGCAGGCGGUUUGCUAAGACCGAUGUGAAAUCCCCGGGCUUAACCUGGGAAUUGCAUUUGUGACUGCACGGCUAGAGUGUGUCAGAGGGGGGUAGAAUUCCACGUGUAGCAGUGAAAUGCGUAGAUAUGUGGAGGAAUACCGAUGGCGAAGGCAGCCCCCUGGGAUAACACUGACGCUCAUGCACGAAAGCGUGGGGAGCAAACAGG
rnacentral:rRNA from 1 species